rnacentral:rRNA from 1 species
GUGGGGAAUAUUGGACAAUGGGCGAAAGCCUGAUCCAGCAAUGCCGCGUGCAGGAAGAAGGCCUUCGGGUUGUAAAGCACUUUUGGCAGGAAAGAAAUAGCGCGUGCUAAUACCAUGCGCGAAUGACGGUACCUGCAGAAUAAGCACCGGCUAACUACGUGCCAGCAGCCGCGGUAAGACGUAGGGUGCAAGCGUUAAUCGGAAUUCCUGGGCGUAAAGCGUGCGCAGGCGGUUUUGUAAGACAGGUGUGAAAUCCCCGGGCUCAACCAGGGAACUGCACUUGUGACGGCAAGGCUAGAGUGUGUCAGAGGGAGGUGGAAUUCCGCGUGUAGCAGUGAAAUGCGUAGAGAUGCGGAGGAACACCGAUGGCGAAGGCAGCCUCCUGGGAUAACACUGACGCUCAGGCACGAAAGCGUGGGGAGCAAACAGGAUUAGAAACCCGGGUAGUCC